rnacentral:rRNA from 1 species
CCCUACGGGGUGCAGCAGUUACGAAACCUUUACAAUGCACGAAAGUGUGAUAAGGGAACUCAAAGUGCUAACACACUGUGUUGGCUUUUGCUAAGGGUAAAUACCUUAGAGGAUAAGUGGUGGGUAAGACUGGUGCCAGCCGCCGCGGUAACACCAGCGCCACAAGUGGGAAUCAGUUUUAUUGGGCUUAAAGCGUUCGCAGCCUGUUUUGCAAAUCCUUCGUGAAAUCGUUGCCCUUAAUGCAACGGCGUGCGGAGGACACUACAUUACUAGGGACCGGGAGGGGUUAGGAGUAUGCUGUGGGGAGCGGUAAAAUGCUAUAAUCCUCAGUAGACUACCUUUGGCGAAGGCGCCUAACUAGAACGGGUCCGACGGUGAGGAACGAAAGCUGGGGGAGCGAAACGGAUUAGAUACCCGUGUAGUCCCAGCCGUAAACGCUGCGAACUAGAUGUUGCAUAUUUUUCGUGAAUGUGCAGUGUCGGAGCGAAAGUGUUAAGUUCGCCGCCUGGGAAGUAUAGUCGCAAGACCGAAACUUAAAGGAAUUGGCGGGGGAGCACCACAACAGGUGCGGCGUGCGGUUUAAUCUAACUUUACGCAGAGAAUCUCACCAGAAGCGACGGCAGGAUGAAGGUCAGAUUGAAGGUUUUACCUGACAAGCCGAGAGGAAGUGCAUGGCC